rnacentral:rRNA from 1 species
UACAGAGGGUGCGAGCGUUAAUCGGAAUUACUGGGCGUAAAGGGUGCGUAGGUGGUUAUUUAAGUCAGAUGUGAAAUCCCAAGGCUUAACCUUGGAAUGGCAUAUGAAACUGGGUAGCUAGAGUGCAGAAGAGGGAAGUGGAAUUUCCGGUGUAGCGGUGAAAUGCGUAGAUAUCGGAAGGAACAUCAGUGGCGAAGGCGACUUCCUGGUCUGUAACUGACACUGAGGCACGAAAGCGUGGGGAGCGAACAGG